UUAUCAGGCCAGCCUCUUUUCUGUGUGGAUGCCCUUUUCACCCUGUUUAGGCUCUGACACCCCAUGCCAGGCUGCUCAUUCUGCAGGAACACUCUCAUUACCACUAACUGGGCUCUGACUUCCCACACCAGGCCACUGCCUACCUCCUCACCCACCUGAACCAUCUCCCCACCCCAGGCCACAUGUGGAUACCCUCCUCAUUCCCUUGGACUCUGACACCUGUGAUGUCACAGGGACACCCUCCUCAUCGGGUGGAGUUCAGAUAGCUUGCUCUGGGCUACCACAGCACAUCCUCCUUCCCCCUGCCAAUGUGGACAUCUGUCUUGUUUCGGCCCCCAAUGGCUUUAGAACUAAAUUGUUCAGGAAGGGAAGGAAAGGAAAGAAAGAUGCCGCUUGAAUAGAAAAUCAUCUGAAAAGUAAAUAUUGUGGCCAGAUCUAAGAAAGGUAACCAGGGG